CAGCCAGGCCGGGCCCCUCUGGCAAUCCAAUUGGAUUGCGAUGUCGGACUGGAAUU
rfam:Pseudorhodoplanes sinuspersici strain RIPI110, complete genome.